rnacentral:pre_miRNA from 1 species
UAGGUACUCCCUCCGUUCGGAAUUACUUGCCGCAGAAAUUGAUGUAUCUAGAUGUAUUUUAGUUCUAGAUACAUCCAUUUCCGAGACAAGUAAUUCCGAACGGAGGGAGUACAUA